UACAGAGGGUGCAAGCGUUAAUCGGAAUUACUGGGCGUAAAGCGUGCGCAGACGGUUGCGUAAGUCAGAUGUGAAAGCCCCGGGCUCAACCUGGGAAUUGCAUUUGAGACUGCGUAGCUAGGGUGCGGAAGAGGGAAGCGGAAUUUCCGGGUGUAGCGGUGGAAAUGCGUAGAUAUCGGAAGGAACACCAGUGGCGAAAGCGGCUUCCUGGUCCAGCACCGACGUUCAGGCACGAAAGCGUGGGGAGCAAACAGG
rnacentral:rRNA from 1 species